AAAUUGAAGAGUUUGAUCAUGGCUCAGAUUGAACGCUGGCGGCAGGCCUAACACAUGCAAGUCGAGCGGCAGCGGGAAAGUAGCUUGCUACUUUUGCCGGCGAGCGGCGGACGGGUGAGUAAUGUCUGGGAAAUUGCCCAGUCGAGGGGGAUAACAGUUGGAAACGACUGCUAAUACCGCAUACGCCCUACGGGGGAAAGCAGGGGACCUUCGGGCCUUGCGCGAUUGGAUAUGCCCAGGUGGGAUUAGCUAGUUGGUGAGGU
rnacentral:rRNA from 1 species